GGGCCUGUAGUCUAACCUGGUAGGAUGCCGCCCUUACACGGCAGAGGUUCCGGUUCAAAUCCGGACAGGCCCA
rnacentral:tRNA from 1 species